rnacentral:piRNA from 1 species
UGAUCCGAACACAGCAAUGAA